GGAGCAGGCCGGGCGACCGCUGGGAGCGCAAGCUCUCAGAGGAAAGUCCGGACACCAAAGGGCAGGGCGCUGGGUAACUCCCAGUGGGGGCGACCCCAAGGAAAGUGCCACAGAAACAUACCGCCCUGCACCAUUCGCCUGCGGCUCAGGUAUAGGGCGUCGCCCUGAAUCCGAGCGUAGCGAGUGGUUCAGGGUAAGGGUGCAAUCGUGCGGUAAGAGCGCACGAGGCUCCGGGUGACCGGAGACCUGGGCAAACCCCGCCCGGUGCAAGGCCACAUAGGGGGAGAUGAGGCGGCCCGCCGCAUCCCCGGGUAGGCUGCAUGAGGCGUCUGGUAACAGGCGCCCCAGAUAGAUGGUCGCCGUCUGGUGACUCCUCAUACUCCUCGCCCCCCGUGAGGGGGGCGAGGGUAGGGUGGGGGGGCCAGUUACAGAACCCGGCUUACAGGCCUGCUCCCACA
rnacentral:RNase_P_RNA from 1 species